GGACCUGUGGCGUGAAGGAGAGCCUAUCCGUCCGGUAUCGACUUCGGAAGCUCCCUCGAAUGGGACCCCGUAGCGGGUGCGAGGCCCGUAAAGAAGUCGCGCCGGUCGGUUUGAGCCUCCUCAGAGUCGGGUUACUUGAGAGUGUAGCCCAAAGCGGAAGGUAAACCCCUUCUAAGGCUAAAUAAGACCGCGAGACCGAUAGCGAACAAGUACCGCGAGGGAAAGUUGAAAAGAACUUUGAAGAGAGAGUUCAAAAGGGCGUGAAACCGCUUAGAAUAAAACGGACGGAACCGUCUGAGGCCCGUCGGAAUCAGUCGAAUCGACGCGUGAAAACGGGCGCUUCGAUUAAAAACGGAACGCAAGUCCCGUAGCCCCGUUAGAUUAUAGAGUAGCGCUCGUUCGAUGCAUUUCCGAUGGGUAAGCGCCGCGACCGGCGCGAAAGGCUAGCGAAGCCGUCGGAUUGAGGGCGAGCUCGUUUACGCGAGUCUCGUAACCAGUCCUUCGGUCGAAAAUAUAAAUCGUUAGACCCUAGCGUCGAGAGAUAUAAAGAACGAACGUCGGCGAUAAAUAUAAAGCGCUCGUCUAUUACGACGGAGGUGCGACCGAUCGAUCGUAACCUGCUCGCAGGUUUCGGUUAGACUAUCCGGUUCGUAUCCGAAGUCGUCGACGACGUUUACGACGUUCGGGCGUCUGCGGCGUCCGAGUCGGUCACCCGUCCGACCCGUCUUGAAACACGGACCAAGGAGUCUAACGUAAGCGCAAGCUAAUGGGUGGAAAACCCAUAAGCGAAAUAAAAGUAAAAGUCGUCUCGGACGACUGAGGUACGAUCCCGCAGGAUAGUCCUAGUCCUCGGGCGCAGUACCGUCCCGUCCCGACCGCACGUCGGUAGGGCGGAGACAGAGUGCCUACGUUGGGACCCGAAAGAUGGUGAACUAUGCCUGA
rnacentral:rRNA from 1 species